ACAAUGGGCGUUAUUAGCAGAAAUCAGUCCCAUAGAUAUGGGCCAUCCACCUGCUAGAUUGUUCAGAAGGUUGGUAUCAUCCAUCCAGAUGGAGGAUCACUGACAGGAGCGUGGAAGACUCCAGAAUCCACUCUGGCUGGAAUCCGGUGGAUACAGCAGUGUUACAGGUACAGUACGUGAUAUUAAGGGCAGGCGGUCAUCACUGGGGGAAGACAAGAAGCAGACGUACUUCCAAGAGGGAGCUGCAGUGAGGACACAGCCUGGUCACUGAGGUCAGAGGAGGCGCUGAAAGGUUUCCCUAAUAGUUCCUGGUGAAUCAAAGCAGAACCAUAA